GACGAACGCUGGCGGCGUGCUUAACACAUGCAAGUCGAACGGAAAGGCCCUGCUUUUGUGGGGUGCUCGAGUGGCGAACGGGUGAGUAACACGUGAGUAACCUGCCCUUGACUUUGGGAUAACUUCAGGAAACUGGGGCUAAUACCGGAUAGGAGCUCCUGCUGCAUGGUGGGGGUUGGAAAGUUUCGGCGGUUGGGGAUGGACUCGCAGCUUAUCAGCUUGUUGGUGGGGUAGUGGCUUACCAAGGCUUUGACGGGUAGCCGGCCUGAGAGGGUGACCGGCCACAUUGGGACUGAGAUACGGCCCAGACUCCUACGGGAGGCAGCAGUGGGGAAUAUUGCACAAUGGGCAGAAGCCUGAUGCAGCAACGCCGCGUGCGGGAUGACGGCCUUCGGGUUGUAAACCGCUUUCGCCUGUGACGAAGCGUGAGUGACGGUAAUGGGUAAAGAAGCACCGGCUAACUACGUG
rnacentral:rRNA from 1 species